rnacentral:rRNA from 1 species
CCUACGGGGGGCUGCAGUGGGGAAUAUUGGACAAUGGGCGAAAGCCUGAUCCAGCCAUGCCGCGUGUGUGAAGAAGGCCUUCGGGUUGUAAAGCACUUUCAGUGGGGAAGAAAGCCUUGGGGCUAAUACCCUCGAGGAAGGACAUCACCCACUGAAGAAGCACCGGCUAACUCCGUGCCAGCAGCCGCGGUAAUACGGAGGGUGCGAGCGUUAAUCGGAAUUACUGGGCGUAAAGCGCGCGUAGGCGGUCUGAUAAGCCGGUUGUGAAAGCCCCGGGCUCAACCUGGGAACGGCAUCCGGAACUGUCAGGCUAGAGUGCAGGAGAGGAAGGUAGAAUUCCCGGUGUAGCGGUGAAAUGCGUAGAGAUCGGGAGGAAUACCAGUGGCGAAGGCGGCCUUCUGGACUGACACUGACGCUGAGGUGCGAAAGCGUGGGUAGCAAACAGGAUUAGAUACCCGAGUAGUC